AUUUCCUCCAGGAAGCCUUUCUCUGAGGCCUUUCUCCGACCCUUAACAGUUAUUCUGGCUUUAUUAUUUACUAAUGUUGUUAAGUCCAGGACCUCCAUCUUGCAGACAGCAGAUUGUGGGACUUCUUAGCCUCCAUAAUUAUAUCCCUGGAAUUCGGCACCUUUG